rnacentral:rRNA from 1 species
UACGUAGGGUGCAAGCGUUGUCCGGAAUCAUUGGGCGUAAAGCGCGCGUAGGCGGUCAUGUAAGUCCGCUGUGAAAGUCAAAGGCUCAACCUUUGAAAGCCGGUGGAUACUGCAUGACUAGAGUACGGAAGAGGCGAGUGGAAUUCCUGGUGUAGCGGUGGAAUGCGCAGAUAUCAGGAGGAACACCAAUAGCGAAGGCAGCUCGCUGGGACGUUACUGACACUGAGGCGCGAAAGCGUGGGGAGCGAACAGG